UACGGGGGGAGCAAGCGUUGUUCGGAUUUACUGGGCGUAAAGGGCGCGUAGGCGGUCGUGACAAGUCACUUGUGAAAUCUCCGGGCUUAACUCGGAACGGUCAAGUGAUACUGUCGGACUAGAGUACAGAAGGGGCAACUGGAAUUCUCGGUGUAGCGGUGAAAUGCGCAGAUAUCAGGAGGAACACCAAUGGCGAAGGCAGCACUCUGGGACGUGACUGACGCUGAGACGCGAAAGCGUGGGGAGCGAACAGG
rnacentral:rRNA from 1 species